rnacentral:rRNA from 1 species
UACAGAGGGGGCAAGCGUUAUUCGGAAUUAUUGGGCGUAAAGGGCGCGUAGGCGGUCGUUCAAGUGGUAGGUGAAAUCCCUCGGCUCAACCGAGGAGCUGCCCGCCAAACUGAAUGACUUGAGUCCGGGAGAGGUGAGUGGAAUUCCCAGUGUAGCGGUGAAAUGCGUAGAUAUUGGGAGGAACACCAGUGGCGAAGGCGGCUCACUGGACCGGCACUGACGCUGAAGCGCGAAAGCGUGGGGAGCAAACGGG